rnacentral:lncRNA from 13 species
CAAAAAUGGGAAUACCAGCCAAUCAAAGAAGAGAUUAAUUGAAGGAGUUUGGGACUGGGCGUUUCUUUGUGAAAUUCUCGUGUCCCAGGCAGAGAAAGUAAAAGGAUGAGUUUGAGAUAUUGAAAAAGCCAGAAAUGUCUCCGUCUAGAAUUGAAAUAUCUAGCUAGUAAGGCUGACUGCAAAGGAGUUUCUACCCCGAAGUGAUCUGGCGAAGAGCAAACUGUGAGAGGAAAUUUGCACUAAUGCAACGAAGCUUGAAAUGGAUUCUGAUGACUGGCAAGAAGGAAGAACAAAAAUACUGAAGAAAGAAAGGGGUUUGGUAUGUUGUCAGACUGUGCUUUUGUGAGGGAGGGCAUCCGGUCAGGGCUGGGUGUGUGGGUGGGUUUUGCCGGUCUUUGCCUGUGUCUCAAAUGGCACCCUAUUGCCAUAGGGCUCUGUUCAAAAUUAGUGCACAAUAUAGUGAAUAGGGUGCCAUUUGAACGCAACCUUCCAACCCCUCCCUCAGGUCAGAAUACUGCUGACAGUGGUGGAGGGUUUACUCUGUCCUCCCCUUCUUUCUCUCCUCCCUCCGCUGCUUCGUUGGCUCCUUUCAUGACUGGGGUGGGUUUGGUACUUGGAUGUGCUGUUGGAGCAGCAGAAGUAGCAGCAGUGGUUUUCAUGGCAGGCUCUAUAAGGCGGUAG